UUUAUAAACCUCCAUUAGCAGAGCUUAGGCCGGCAGCAGUCAGAAAUGUCUGCUGGAGAAGACACUGCAAAGUGUCAGUGAGGGCGUUUGAGAAUUAAUUUUACCCUAGAGUAGCUGCGCAGGUCUGUUUAGCACUCACCUCUACAGUUUUGAACAUUCGAUAACACUGGAAUCAGUCUGAUGCCUUGAACACUUCACAUGAAGGGUUUUUCAAAAUCUAGCCACAAACAGAUAUGACCAGAUUUCAAAAAAUUUUGAGAAACUAGGAGGAAUCUAUUUUGACAAAGCCAAGCCACACAUAGGAUAGAGCCCCACGGAGAACAUGGCCAUCCCUGUGCGAACCUUGCUGGAAUCAGUCCACCCAAGUCUACUACAGCCCUUUGCUAAUCAAAGGAGAGGAGCAGACAUGCGUGCCCUGGAGAGAAGAAAGUAGAAGGAUCAACUAAAAGAGCUCUCCCACUAAAUGGCUGUGGGCUCCUCUAAGAAACUGAAACAUGGAAGAAGGAAGGACCAGCCAGCCAGAACAGCAGUGGGUAUCAAGGAAUGAUAUAAAAGCAAGCUCAAGACAGUCAAGAUUCAAGGAGCUAUAUACCUUGCUUCCUUUCCAGAGCUGAAAUUUGAGUCAAGAGUCCAUUUCUUCCAUCUGGCCAGAGGAUCUCCAGGAUACUCUCAUGUGUGUCAAUAAUAACUUUUAUAAUUUUGUCUUUCUCAAUAUUUAACUCACAGUUCAAUGCAUUUCCAUUCAAAUAUGUGUCUUGUGAUAUGUGGCACUACUCUACCUCCUUUUCUGAAAGCCUGCUCCUUUCUAACAAGGUGAACACCUCCACUGCCAUAUUUAGGUAUAAGGAUCCUCCCAUCAAGUGUCUGAGACUCCUAAAGCUGUAUCUCCCUUCUCAUAUUAAAAUAUCAA
rnacentral:lncRNA from 1 species